rnacentral:rRNA from 1 species
UACAGAGGUGGCAAGCGUUGUUCGGAUUCACUGGGCGUAAAGGGUGCGUAGGUGGCCGGGUAAGUUCGGUGUGAAAGCUCGGAGCUUAACUCCGAAAUGGCAUUGAAUACUAUCCGGCUUGAGGUUCGGAGGGGAGACUGGAAUUCUCGGUGUAGCAGUGAAAUGCGUAGAUAUCGAGAGGAACACCAGUGGCGAAGGCGAGUCUCUGGACGAAUCCUGACACUGAGGCACGAAAGCUAGGGGAGCAAACAGG